rnacentral:tRNA from 1 species
AUUUAAAUAGCUUAUAAAGAGUGUGGGAUUGAAGAUUCCAAGGAGAAAAUAAAUUGUCUUUAAAUA